GACGAACGCUGGCGGCGUGCCUAAUACAUGCAAGUCGAACGCAGUGGGGACGGGUGAGUAACACGUGGGUAACCUCCCAUCAGAGGGGAUAACACUUGGAAACAGGUGCUAAACCGAUACUGAUGGAUGGACCCGCGGUGCAUUAGCUAGUUGGUGAGGUAACGGCUCACCAAGGCCACGAUGCAUAGUCGACCUGAGAGGGGGCUAGGCCAACCUGGGACGGAGACACGGCACAGAUUCCUACGGGAGGCAGCAGUAGGGAAUCUGCGGCAAUGGAGGAAAGUCUGACCGAGCAACGCCGGGGGAGUGAAGAAGGUUUUCGGAUCUUAAAACUCUGUGGUUAGAGAAGCGGUAUCUAACCAGAAAGCCACGGCUAACUACGUGCCAGCAGCCGCGGUAAUU
rnacentral:rRNA from 1 species